UACGUAGGGGGCAAGCGUUGUCCGGAAUUAUUGGGCGUAAAGCGCGCGCAGGCGGUUCCUUAAGUCUGAUGUGAAAUCUCGCGGCUCAACCGCGAGCGGUCAUUGGAAACUGGGGAGCUUGAGUACAGAAGAGGAGAGUGGAAUUCCACGUGUAGCGGUGAAAUGCGUAGAUAUGUGGAGGAACACCAGUGGCGAAGGCGACUCUCUGGUCUGUAACUGACGCUGAGGCGAGAAAGCGUGGGGAGCGAACAGG
rnacentral:rRNA from 1 species